UGCAUAGGAAUUGUUUCACUGAAUUGAACGGUGGUAUUUUCAUCCACAUAGCAUGCACUGAACCAAAGAUAUAUGAACCUCCAAAGUAAACCGACGAUAUGAUAUGUCCAUAUCGAUCUGCUUUAAUUAUGCGCAAGCGAAAGAGUAUGCCAGAGCCUCUAACUACAAAAUUUCAUAAACCAACGACUCUUUCGUAUGCCUUUAAAUUAACUACAAAAUUCCAUAAAUCAACGGCUCUUUCGCAUGCCUUUAACUACAAAAUUUCAUAACUGACCAACGACUCUUUGGUAUGCGCUUAAUUGACUACAAUAUUUCGCAUAUGCGCAGACUAAAAACUGUCACACUAAACUUUUUUAUGGUUUUCUACAAAUUUCACGACUGCAUCCACCAUACACGCUGAAUAUUAAUGGUGUGAACGAGGCAUGCUAUAUCUGUAUACACAGCGUUCACUUGAUUGUAUACACCCUUUUCAUAAAUGGCUGCCGAUUAAAAAUUCUUUUAUGUGCAUAUAAAUUGGCCCAACUAGCCUCGUACUCAUGUUAAGAUUUCAAAGGAAUUUGUACCCAGCAGCGAGGCUAGUUGGGCCAAUUUAUAUGCACAUAAAAGAAUUUUUAAUCGGCAGCCAUUUAUGAAAAGGGUGUAUUGCCGUGUUGUUUCUCCCGUAAAAAAUUCAUUAAUUUUUUAUCGAUUCCCAGCAAGCCUUUCGCGCUCGUUUUCGACCUUUCCGCUUUGCUCGGGGGCAACCGCAAUUGAAAUAGCUGUAUACUAAAGGUGAUGCCAAUGUAAAGUUUAUUGGUAAAUAUCAGGAUCUUGCGCAUCUCAAUCGUGGAAAUCGGACUAUAAUCGCAGUGCCGCAGGUUCGAUUCCUGCCAGAGAGUCUAUAGUUGCAUUUUUCUACAAACAAACAAAUUUAACUAUUCCCCGACGGACUAAUCAAGUGUUUUGUUAUAUAGCGACGAAGAGAUAGUAAAACAAAUAUGUAAAGAGCUAGUUGAGUGCAUUUCCUGUUGCCUGUUGUUGAGUAUUUUUUUCUCUAAUAAACACAGCAUUCUGUUGGUACUCAUGAGUCGUAGACUGAUAACAUUGGGGAACUUAAAAGACAUGUAUAUUCAGUAUUAUAGAUAUUUUAUUUGAAUGUACUAGUAAUUUACUAAUGUUUUAUUAGUCCUAUUUUUUAAGUUUAAUUAACAAAGGGAAUUUUAUGUGAGUUUUCAUUUAACAAUAGAGAUUUUAAGAUCUACGACGGGGCAACUCAACGACGCGCCUUAUUUGUGGUCACAGGGGUAUGUGUCCUCAGUUUAAGUGUUUAAGUCCUA